rnacentral:rRNA from 1 species
AUACGUAGGGGGCAAGCGUUAUCCGGAUUUACUGGGUGUAAAGGGUGUGUAGGCGGGGAUGCAAGUCAGAUAUGAAAACCAUGGGCUCAACCCAUGAUGUGCAUUUGAAACUGCGUUUCUUGAGUGUGGGAGAGGUAAGCGGAAUUCCUAGUGUAGCGGUGAAAUGCGUAGAUAUUAGGAGGAACACCAGUGGCGAAGGCGGCUUACUGGACCACAACUAACGCUGAGACACGAAAGCGUGGGGAGC